rnacentral:rRNA from 1 species
UACAGAGGUCUCAAGCGUUGUUCGGAUUCAUUGGGCGUAAAGGGUGCGCAGGCGGCCGUGUGUGUGAGGCGUGAAAGCCCGGGGCUUAACCCCGGAAUUGCACCUCAAACUACAUGGCUAGAGCAUUGGAGAGGGUAGCGGAAUUCACGGUGUAGCAGUGAAAUGCGUAGAUAUCGUGAGGAACACCAGAGGCGAAGGCGGCUACCUGGACAAUUGCUGACGCUCAGGCACGAAAGCGUGGGGAGCAAAAGGG